rnacentral:lncRNA from 1 species
CUCUUUUAACCUUCCCUUUCUCCGUGUAGGUUUCCCAUUGAGUGUUUUCAAUGGGAAAUGUCUAACUGCUCUGUGGGUGUACACCACGGCCGGUUGCUAAUUUUGGAACACUUGUGAAUCCUGGGCCCAGAGUCAUGACCAAUACUGGUGAGUCAUACUCCCCAUACAGAGCUCCCUACACAUUGGCUGUCAGAAAAAAAAAAAAAAAAAAAGCAAAACAGAAGUUGCCAUCUCGUCCUCUGCUCUAGCUGUCUCAUUUUACCUUCUGAAAUGAUGGAGGAAGUUCUGCUGAGGAUGGGGUCAGGGUAACAGCAGACUUCUGAAUAACCCUGCACCCCCAGAAACCUGCAAAGGACACAAGCCCUCUUGGUGGUCUCCUCCUGGAUGCCUUGCUUUCUCCUGGAAGAGCCCUCCCUUCCACUCCGGAUAUCACUGUGAACCUGAUUCCCCAGGAUCAACUAUCUGAGCAGAUACCUUAGAAUGUCCCCAGAUUUCAGAGAAUUCCAAAGAAGAUAGAAAUGGGGUUAGGAAGGGAAGUUCUGCCCUCCUGGUUCUUGUCAUCCUUCUCUACUUCAAGGCAUACUGCACAUCACAGUCAUGACUUCUACACUCAGGAAGCCAGUGCCCCAAAAGGCAGAAAGACAGAUCUGUUUCUCGUCACAGAAAUAAAGAAAGGUAAAUGCUGGAGAUUGCCCUGGAGAUUUAAGGAGUGAUGGCAAAAUGGCAAAAAGCAA